rnacentral:tRNA from 1 species
GGUGAAAUGGCUGAAAUUAGGCGAUAGAUUGUAAAUCUAUUUAUGGUUAGAUAACCUUUCAUCA